GUGCUCACUUCAGUAGCAUAUAUAAUAAAAUUGGAAAGAUACAGAGAAAAGUACCAAGGCCCCUGCACAAAGGGUAAUAUGAAACUUUGUGAAGGAUUUCAUGUAGAU
ensembl:snRNA U6 U6 spliceosomal RNA